rnacentral:rRNA from 1 species
GGGUGAGUAACGCGUGGGUAACCUGCCUUAUACCGGGGGACAACAGUUGGAAACGACUGCUAAUACCGCAUAAGCGCACAGUCUCGCAUGAGACAGUGUGAAAAACUCCGGUGGUAUAAGAUGGACCCGCGUCUGAUUAGCCAGUUGGCGGUGUAACGGACCACCAAAGCGACGAUCAGUAGCCGGCCUGAGAGGGUGAACGGCCACAUUGGGACUGAGACACGGCCCAAACUCCUACGGGAGGCAGCAGUGGGGAAUAUUGCACAAUGGAGGAAACUCUGAUGCAGCGACGCCGCGUGAGUGAAGAAGUAUUUCGGUAUGUAAAGCUCUAUCAGCAGGAAAGAAAAUGACGGUACCUGACUAAGAAGCCCCGGCUAACUACGUGCCAGCAGCCGCGGUAAUACGUAGGGGGCAAGCGUUAUCCGGAUUUACUGGGUGUAAAGGGAGCGUAGACGGCCAUGCAAGUCUGAAGUGAAAGCUCGGGGCUCAACCCCGGAACUGCUUUGGAAACUGUAAGGCUGGAGUGCAGGAGAGGUAAGCGGAAUUCCUAGUGUAGCGGUGAAAUGCGUAGAUAUUAGGAGGAACACCAGAGGCGAAGGCGGCUUACUGGACUGUAACUG